rnacentral:rRNA from 1 species
CCUACGGGUGGCAGCAGUGAGGAAUAUUGGUCAAUGGGCGCGAGCCUGAACCAGCCAAGUAGCGUGAAGGAUGACUGCCCUACGGGUUGUAAACUUCUUUUAUAAAGGAAUAACGUGAGGCACGUGUACCGUUUUGUAUGUACUUUAUGAAUAAGGAUCGGCUAGCUCCGUGCCAGCAGCCGCGGUAAUACGGAGGAUCCGAGCGUUAUCCGGAUUUAUUGGGUUUAAAGGGAGCGAAGGCGGAAGGCCAAGUGAGCGGUAAAAGCGCGGGGCUAAACCGCGCGCCGCAGGUGACACUGGCGUUCUUGAGUGGGCGAGAGGUAGGCGGAAUUCGUUGUGUAGCGGUGAAAUGCAUAGAUAGCACGCAGAACUCCGAUUGCGAAGGCAGCAUACUGGCGCCCAACUGACGCUGAAGCACGAAAGCGUGGGUAUCGAACAGGAUUAGAUACCCCAGUAGUC